GAUGAACGCCGGCGGCGUGCUUAACACAUGCAAGUCGAACGAAGCACUCUAUUUGAUUUUUUUCGGAAAUGAAGAUUUUGUGACUGAGUGGCGGACGGGUGAGUAACGCGUGGGUAACCUGCCUCAUACAGGGGGAUAACAGUUGGAAACGACUGCUAAUACCGCAUAAGCGCACAGUACUGCAUGGUACAGUGUGAAAAACUCCGGUGGUAUGAGAUGGACCCGCGUCUGAUUAGCUAGUUGGUGGGGUAACGGCCUACCAAGGCGACGAUCAGUAGCCGACCUGGGAGGGUGACCGGCCACAUUGGGACUGAGACACGGCCCAAACUCCUACGGGAGGCAGCAGUGGGGAAUAUUGCACAAUGGGGGAAACCCUGAUGCAGCGACGCCGCGUGAACGAAGAAGUAUUUCGGUAUGUAAAGUUCUAUCAGCAGGGAAGAUAAUGACGGUACCUGACUAAGAAGCACCGGCUAAAUACGUGCCAGCCGCCGCCGUAA
rnacentral:rRNA from 1 species